UUGAACACAACAAAUUGCAUGGUAUGAAACGGGAAUGAACUAUUUUUUCUUGAUAAAAUCAUUGUUUUCAUAGAACUUACGACCAGAGAUGUUUGCUUAACAACGGUGCGACUAGAACUACAAACCAGAGUGUCUGCAUAAGGACGGUCCAAUUAGAACUACGAAGCAGAGUUUUGCUUGACAACGGCAACCCUGUACUUUGAGUAUUUUUUGUUGCAGCUGGCUAGAGUGUCGCCGGAUUGUGCAGUACACAAGUCUUGUACAGUAUCCAGUCUUCUGGGCCAUGUAACAGUAGGAACAGAGACGAGACUAACGGCAACCAAUGAACAAGUCGAGGAUGUUUCAGUGUUGGAGGGGGAUUUGACUGACGACGUAACGUGAAAAGAAAACAAUUGCAUCAUACAAAGACAGCGUGCAGCACAGCAUGCAGCAUAACAUCGCACACUUCAAUCUCUUUCCUUGGGAUCUUGGCUGGGUUUUUGGGAUACCUGAGAAGAAACCUGUGAACCUAGGAUUCUCUCCCUGACGAGGGAGAUGGCGAGCCGACCAGCUUGAUCAACUUGAUUCAUCUUCAUCCAUUGAGGAAGAACCCCCUGAUACCCCUUGUUUCUCCCAACCCCACUCUGGUGUGAAUGUCUGAUAUAAGUGAGAGCAUCAAGGACGCAGUCAUUUCUGUCCUGCCAAGUGUGCCAGAAGAAACGAUCUUACACCAGGGAGUGGAAAGCAAAGAUGACUUGCAGUACAUAAGAGAACAGGAAAUUGCCGAGGUUAAUCGACCAAUCCAGUGCAGAAAACAUUUAAAUGCAUGGAAAUGAGCAGAAUGUCUGGUAUAAGUGAGAGCAUCAAGGACGCAGUCAUUUCUGUCCUGCCAAGUGUGCCAGAAGAAACGAUCUUACACCAGGGAGUGGAAAGCAAAGAUGACUUGCAGUACAUAAGAGAACAGGAAAUUGCAGAGGUUAAUCGACCAAUCCAGUGCAGAAAACAUUUAAAUGCAUGGAAAUGAGCAGAUGCUGUAAGUUGUGCUACCCCCCUACUCCAGUCCCCAGAAGGCAGUUCAUCACUGUCAAGCUCCUUGAGAUCCAGUAGCCCUUCACCAUCACAUUCCAUACGGCCACCAGUAAAGCAAAAAUGGCCAGAAACGUUCCAGGUACCCCAGGCAACCCUGUACUUUGAGUAUUUUUUGUUGCAGCUGGCUAGAGUGUCGCCGGAUUGCGCAGGUAGGCUACGUGCGUUUCGAAUUCAUCAAACUAGUUAGUAUCAUAACGGCCAAUCAUUCGCCAGCGAUAGCUUAGUAUGAAAGCAUGUUUACAUGUCAGUAUUGUGGUCACCAAUGCUUAACGAAGUAUGCGUUUGUUAGGCAUAUGAAAGUACAUGCGAGUCUUCCAACCGCGUUGUUUAAAUGCGCCUUUUUUGAUUGCACCCGUUCGUUCAGAAACAUGACGCAGUUGGAAUGUCAUGUAUAUCGAGAGCAUAAAGAUAAGAGGAGAGCACAGGUGAAAAGAAAACAAUUGCAUCAUACAAAGACAGCGUGCAGCACAGCAUGCAGCAUAACAAUGUCUGGUAUAAGUGAGAGCAUCAAGGACGCAGUCAUUUCUGUCCUGCCAAGUGUGCCAGAAGAAACGAUCUUACACCAGGGAGUGGAAAGCAAAGAUGACUUGCAGUACAUAAGAGAACAGGAAAUUGCAGAGGUUAAUCGACCAAUCCAGUGCAGAAAACAUUUAAAUGCAUGGAAAUGAGCAGAUGCUGUAAGUUGUGCUACCCCCCUACUCCAGUCCCCAGAAGGCAGUUCAUCACUGUCAAGCUCCUUGAGAUCCAGUAGCCCUUCACCAUCACAUUCCAUACGGCCACCAGUAAAGCAAAAAUGGCCAGAAACGUUCCAGGUACCCCAGGCAACCCUGUACUUUGAGUAUUUUUUGUUGCAGCUGGCUAGAGUGUCGCCGGAUUGCGCAGUCUUGUACAGUAUCCAGUCUUCUGGGCCAUGUAACAGUAGGAACAGAGACGAGACUAACGGCAACCAAUGAACAAGUUGAGGAUGUUUCAGUGUUGGAGGGGGAUUUGACUGACGACGUAACGUGAAAAGAAAACAAUUGCAUCAUACAAAGACAGCGUGCAGCACAGCAUGCAGCAUAACGCUGGGUUUUUUGGAUACCUGAGAAGAAACCUGUGAACCUAGGAUUCUCUCCCUGACGAGGGAGAUGGCGAGCCGACCAGCUUGAUCAACUUGAUUCAUCUUCAUCCAUUGAGGAAGAACCCCCUGAUACCCCUUGUUUCUCCCAACCCCACUCUGGUGUGAAUGUCUGGUAUAAGUGAGAGCAUCAAGGACGCAGUCAUUUCUGUCCUGCCAAGUGUGCCAGAAGAAACGAUCUUACACCAGGGAGUGGAAAGCAAAGAUGACUUGCAGUACAUAAGAGAACAGGAAAUUGCAGAGGUUAAUCGACCAAUCCAGUGCAGAAAACAUUUAAAUGCAUGGAAAUGAGCAGAUGCUGUAAGUUGUGCUACCCCCCUACUCCAGUCCCCAGAAGGCAGUUCAUCACUGUCAAGCUCCUUGAGAUCCAGUAGCCCUUCACCAUCACAUUCCAUACGGCCACCAGUAAAGCAAAAAUGGCCAGAAACGUUCCAGGUACCCCAGGCAACCCUGUACUUUGAGUAUUUUUUGUUGCAGCUGGCUAGAGUGUCGCCGGAUUGCGCAGGUGAAAAGAAAACAAUUGCAUCAUACAAAGACAGCGUGCAGCACAGCAUGCAGCAUAACAAUGUCUGAUAUAAGUGAGAGCAUCAAGGACGCAGUCAUUUCUGUCCUGCCAAGUGUGCCAGAAGAAACGAUCUUACACCAGGGAGUGGAAAGCAAAGAUGACUUGCAGUACAUAAGAGAACAGGAAAUUGCCGAGGUUAAUCGACCAAUCCAGUGCAGAAACAUUUAAAUGCAUGGAAAUGAGCAGAAUGUCUGGUAUAAGUGAGAGCAUCAAGGACGCAGUCAUUUCUGUCCUGCCAAGUGUGCCAGAAGAAACGAUCUUACACCAGGGAGUGGAAAGCAAAGAUGACUUGCAGUACAUAAGAGAACAGGAAAUUGCAGAGGUUAAUCGACCAAUCCAGUGCAGAAAACAUUUAAAUGCAUGGAAAUGAGCAGAUGCUGUAAGUUGUGCUACCCCCCUACUCCAGUCCCCAGAAGGCAGUUCAUCACUGUCAAGCUCCUUGAGAUCCAGUAGCCCUUCACCAUCACAUUCCAUACGGCCACCAGUAAAGCAAAAAUGGCCAGAAACGUUCCAGGUACCCCAGGCAACCCUGUACUUUGAGUAUUUUUUGUUGCAGCUGGCUAGAGUGUCGCCGGAUUGCGCAGUCUUGUACAGUAUCCAGUCUUCUGGGCCAUGUAACAGUAGGAACAGAGACGAGACUAACGGCAACCAAUGAACAAGUUGAGGAUGUUUCAGUGUUGGAGGGGGAUUUGACUGACGACGUAACGUGAAAAGAAAACAAUUGCAUCAUACAAAGACAGCGUGCAGCACAGCAUGCAGCAUAACAAUGUCUGAUAUAAGUGAGAGCAUCAAGGACGCAGUCAUUUCUGUCCUGCCAAGUGUGCCAGAAGAAACGAUCUUACACCAGGGAGUGGAAAGCAAAGAUGACUUGCAGUACAUAAGAGAACAGGAAAUUGCCGAGGUUAAUCGACCAAUCCAGUGCAGAAAACAUUUAAAUGCAUGGAAAUGAGCAGAAUGUCUGGUAUAAGUGAGAGCAUCAAGGACGCAGUCAUUUCUGUCCUGCCAAGUGUGCCAGAAGAAACGAUCUUACACCAGGGAGUGGAAAGCAAAGAUGACUUGCAGUACAUAAGAGAACAGGAAAUUGCCGAGGUUAAUCGACCAAUCCAGUGCAGAAAACAUUUAAAUGCAUGGAAAUGAGCAGAUGCUAUAAGUUGUGCUACCCCCCUACUCCAGUCCCCAGAAGGCAGUUCAUCGCUGUCAAGCUCCUUGAGAUCCAGUAGCCCUUCACCAUCACAUUCCAUAUGGCCACCAGUAAAGCAAAAAUGGCCAGAAACGUUCCAGGUACCCCAGGCAACCCUGUACUUUGAGUAUUUUUUGUUGCAGCUGGCUAGAGUGUCGCCGGAUUGCGCAGGU